UACGGAGGGUGCAAGCGUUGUCCGGAAUCACUGGGCGUAAAGGGCGCGUAGGUGGUCUGAUAAGGGUGUGGUGAAAGUCCGGGGCUCACCCCGGAUCUGCCGUGCCGACUGUCAGACUCGAGGACUGUAGAGGCAGGUGGAAUUCCGGGUGUAGCGGUGGAAUGCGUAGAGAUCCGGAAGAACACCGGUGGCGAAGGCGGCCUGCUGGGCAGUGACCGUAAGGUCUUAAAAGCUGACGCUGAGGCGACGACAGCGUGGGG
rnacentral:rRNA from 1 species